rnacentral:snRNA from 1 species
GUGCUCGCUUGGGCAGCACAUGUAACGAUACAGAGAAGAUUAACAUGGCCCCUGAGCAAGGAUGACUUGCAAAUUCGUGAAGGACAGUAUGCCAUU